GAUGAACGCUGGCGGCGUGCCUAAUACAUGCAAGUCGAGCGAACGGACGAGAAGAUUGCUUCUCUGAUGUUAGCGGCGGACGGGUGAGUAACACGUGGAUAACCUACCUAUAAGACUGGGAUAACUUCGGGAAACCGGAGCUAAUACCGGAUGAUAUUUUGAACCGCAUGGUUCAAAAGUGAAAGACGGUCUUGCUGUCACUUAUAGAUGGAUCCGCGCUGCAUUAGCUAGUUGGUAAGGUAACGGCUUACCAAGGCAACGAUGCAUAGCCGACCUGAGAGGGUGAUCGGCCACACUGGAACUGAGACACGGUCCAGACUCCUACGGGAGGCAGCAGUAGGGAAUCUUCCGCAAUGGGCGAAAGCCUGACGGAGCAACGCCGCGUGAGUGAUGAAGGUCUUCGGAUCGUAAAACUCUGUUAUUAGGGAAGAACAUAUGUGUAAGUAACUGUGCACAUCUUGACGGUACCUAAUCAGAAAGCCACGGCUAACUACGUG
rnacentral:rRNA from 1 species